GCUCGAAUAGUGUAGUGGUUAUCACGCCAGUCUCACACACUGGAGGUCCCAGGUUCGAAACCUGGUUCGAGCA
rfam:Neurospora tetrasperma FGSC 2509 unplaced genomic scaffold NETTE2scaffold_7, whole genome shotgun sequence.